GGUUCAUUGGUCUAGUGGUAUGAUUCUCGCUUAGGGUCACCUAAGUCAAGCUGCGAGAGGUCCCGGAUUCGAAUUCCGGAUGAACCC